CUACGGGGGGCAGCAGUGGGGAAUUUUGCGCAAUGGGGGAAACCCUGACGCAGCAAUACCGCGUGAGUGAAGAAGGCCUUUGGGUCGUAAAGCUCUUUUCUUGGGGAAGAUAGUGACGGUACCCAAGGAAUAAGCACCGGCUAACUCCGUGCCAGCAGCCGCGGUAAUACGGAGGGUGCAAGCGUUGUUCGGAUUUACUGGGCGUAAAGGGCACGUAGGCGGCACAGCAAGUUAAGGGUGAAAUCCCGGGGCUCAACUCCGGAACUGCUCUUAAAACUACUGAGCUAGAGAUAGUCAGAGGCGGGUGGAAUUCCAGGUGUAGAGGUGAAAUUCGUAGAUAUCUGGAGGAACACCGGUGGCGAAGGCGGCCCGCUGGGGCUAUUCUGACGCUAAGGUGCGAAAGCGUGGGGAGCAAACGGGAUUAGAUACCCUGGUAGUC
rnacentral:rRNA from 1 species